UACAUGCAAGUCGAGCGAAUCGAUGGGAGCUUGCUCCCUGAGAUUAGCGGCGGACGGGUGAGUAACACGUGGGCAACCUGCCUAUAAGACUGGGAUAACUUCGGGAAACCGGAGCUAAUACCGGAUACGUUCUUUUCUCGCAUGAGAGAAGAUGGAAAGACGGUUUCGGCUGUCACUUAUAGAUGGGCCCGCGGCGCAUUAGCUAGUUGGUGAGGUAAUGGCUCACCAAGGCGACGAUGCGUAGCCGACCUGAGAGGGUGAUCGGCCACACUGGGACUGAGACACGGCCCAGACUCCUACGGGAGGCAGCAGUAGGGAAUCUUCCGCAAUGGACGAAAGUCUGACGGAGCAACGCCGCGUGAACGAAGAAGGCCUUCGGGUCGUAAAGUUCUGUUGUUAGGGAAGAACAAGUACCAGAGUAACUGCUGGUACCUUGACGGUACCUAA
rnacentral:rRNA from 2 species